GCUCGCGCUCCGGGCAGAUGCUCGUUCUUCUUGGUGGUGACUACGCGUUCCUCCCGGUGGUGGCGCUCUACCCUUUGUGUUGCCUUUCUCCAAGCAGUUGUGCCCUUCGACCCCUACCUGUAAUCAGUGAGUCCUUCCUGUUUUCUUCGAAUUUUGAUGUGCAACUGUAGUUUCUCCAUUUAUCUUGAAUUCUCUCAGAUCCCUGUCGGUCAGUUACUCAGUUUGUAGUAGAACUACACAUCUUUCCUAGACCUCCAUUAAAUUAUUUUUUCUUACUAGGUCAUAGUUGUUUGAUUAUUGGCAAACAAUCAUUCUUUACCUAUCCUUUUUUGCAUCCGCAGAUUGAUCCGGCAACAGAGAGUUGAAGCUGCAAACAAGCGUGAUGAGGAAAAAGCCGGUACACCACUACUCUUUGUAAUAUUUGGGAGAGGACGACUAAUCUAAUAUUGCCAAGAUAUACGUUUGUUGUCCUUGACCUGAUUUUUAUGGCACUCAAUUUAUUUCAUCUUGGAGUUGGUUUGUAUUGUUUCUGCAAAACAAUUGUCUGAACAUGUAAAUAAUAGUUGGUCACAAGUCAUAUGGGUACAGUGCAUCAUAACAACUCUGCCCCUACACAAUAUACAUCCCAUUACUUAUUUUUUUGGUAUGGUAAGUUGAGAAACAACUUUUUUUGUUGUUUUCUGAUGUGAACUACAUUAUAUGGACCUUUCACUCGAUUAUGUGCUAUUUUUUUUUUACUAUAAUUGACGUGUUGAUAUGUCAUUCUAGAAUUUUGUUGCUUCUGUUGGAACCUAAUUUUCAAUUUUAUACCUUGCAGAAUUUAUGACUGACAGAUUACAUGCUGGUUUCUUACUGCUUGGGUUUCGACAUUUGACAAUUGAACAAAUCAUAUACUGCAGAUUAUUAUAAUAGAAGGUAAACUUACCAAGCGAACAGAGCGAACAAUACUUGUGUUAGUGUUUUCCAGUCUGUUGCAUGCGCAUUGUGCUCACUACUGUCAAUCCAUGGAAAUUUAAAUGUAUAGUGAUGGAUUAAACAAAUGGAACCUAUAUCCUGACUUGCCACUACUAUACUGUAGCUUCUGAAACACGUGUAUGCAUAGAUAGUUUCUCUUUUAUCAUAACUGAAACAUUAUAAAGAUAAAUCUCACUCAGUUUUUAAGUGGGGAAGGGAAAGCUUCAAGAUAUUGCAUUUAAAACACUGAUAUCUAUUUGAAAAUUAAUUCAUGUGCAUAACUCCUGGUUCCUAUCAUUAUCAUGUCUCUAUUUCUCUUGUUCAAGAGAAGUGUGAAACAAAGCACUCAUAUUCACAGCAGCACGUACAGUUAUUCUAUGCUAUCAGAAAUAAGGUCGUUAAUAUUCAGAUAUAUGCAUGUAAACUUGGCCGGUUAAUCAUCAAACACACACACACACACACACACACACACACACACACACAAACACCAUGCUGGAAGGUGGUAUUCAUGGUUGAUAGAUGUCCCUAUAAGAUUGUACAUUGUUCCUCUGAUCCAUUGCGAGGUAUAUAAAUGAUUCGAUUUUGACUUUAUUUUUUCAGCUUAGUUCACCUAGUGUUGGAUAAAAGUUGGACAGAUGCACAUAGGUAAGUCUUAUCCAUAUAAUGCUUUUACAAUCUGCCAGUGGAACUUUAAAUGAUACGAUUUACCAAUUUCAAUGAUGUAUAAUAGCAGAUUAAGUAAAAGCAGUGUUAGAUAUGAAAUGAACUUAAUUCAACCAUUCUCUAGAAGAAAGUACCUAUUUGUCAUAAUGGCGAUGUUAUCUUGUAGAACAGCAAUAGGGAUUUGUUAACAUUCGACCUUUAUGCUGUACUUUUUCCAUUUUGAUUCGCCCACUGUUAAUAUCCUCUUCUUCAACUGACACAUUCUUGCAAGCUAUCACAAUUGAUGAAAUAUAAUUACGAGCACUUAGCUUUUUUGAAUUUUAUAUGCAUACCAGAAGAUUUACUCGUUACAAACAUUAAACAGACGGACCUCUUUUUCAACAAGUUGUUUCAAAUCCCACUGAGACAAAAUAAAAGUGUGCUACUGCUAAUUACUAUACGAGAACAGAAUGUAUGGUUCUAUAUUGGAAUUUUUAGCUGUUGUGGUGUUCCUAAUAACUUAAAACUGCUGUGAAGAUGAACUGAACCAUAGUACUCUCGAAUUAGAGAGCAAGAAAUUUCGAGUUAGUCUACUGUAGGGUAAUAAAGUUCUUAUAUAUGCUGCAAAUCAGUUGCCUUGUGGUGUAAUCACUGAUGUCAUGUUUCCAUAAGUGGGCUGCUGUAAUGACCUUAAUAGUGCAAAGCUAUGUUUUAUAUAAAUUUGCCUAUUCUUUCCAGAGUGCAGGGAAAUGUAUGAGGUGAAUCAAUUUUCCUAUUCUGUUGUUGCUGCUAUAUUCAGGUGUAUGUGGGUUUAAGAUUGGCCACUAAUUGUUGAACCAGGAGCUUUCCCUCGUUAGGAAUAUAAGCUGAAACUUUCCCAUUGCCUUGAUUCUUUGUAGGAAAGACAUACAAGAUGACCAGGAACCAUGAAGCUUGCAGUUUGCGUUAACUGUGUAAUGGAGCGGACUAUGAAUCACUGGACAUGUGUCUAUUAGCUAUCAUAUAUGGUGUCUCGGUCAAGUGGAUAUUCUGUGUAAUGGAAGACGCAUGAUUUGUAGGACAUAUAUCUAUUGGCUAUCAUUUUGUAAACCUAUCCGGUCUCUCGGUCACUGAACCAUAAAUGUUUCCUCUUAAUUGGCUACCUCAUCCGUUUCUGAGAAGUAAUUAAUGUGCUAUUUUUGUUUGGUUUUGGUUUAAUAUUUUUGGAGUACAUGCAUGUUACUUUAAUUUGAU
rnacentral:lncRNA from 1 species